GGAAUAUAUCGCCACAAAUUUCAAAGAUACUCAAGUUCAGUUUUGGUUUGAUGCCAACUACCGCGUGACACACAGACGGAAGGAGGACUGGGUCUUCUCUAAUGGGGUAGGACUGGAUUACGACAAUGGACUGAAGGAAGUUGAGGUUGAAGGGAGAAAAUGUGCUCAUCUUGGUACGAAGACGGAGCCCCAGUUCCAAUGGACUGCUGACAAGUGUCGUGAGAAGAGGGGAUUUAUCUGCGAGAUUUUCCCCAAGGAUGAAACCAGCGUCCAGCCAGCAAGAGACGAAGGAUCUUCCCAAGUUUACUUGAGCGUUCAGAAAUCCAAACAGACUUGGGAAGAGGCUAAGGAUGAUUGUCAAAAAGCUAACGGCCAUCUUGUCAGGAUCUACGAUGCCUCCUUCCAGACCAAAGUCGAAAAUUCUUUGGAUGAGGUCGGAGCCAAAAGAAAGGGAAUUGGAAAUGGAAGGACGAUAGAACCUGCAAAAAGAAGAGAGGCUCAAUUUGUGCAUUGAAC